GCAUUUACAAUCCUUUCACUAGACAGAAAAGUUCUCCAAGUCCCCACUGGACCGAGGAAGUCCAGCUGGCUUCACCUCUCAAUAGCCUGCCCAUCAGCUGUUCUGUUGCCCUGUAGCCUGCUCCAGAUUAUUAGUGAAAUCACCGCAGCCAGAGACCCUUUCUGGAGUCCAGAAGCCUGGUCUGCUUCUCUGGGCCAACCCUCCUUCUGAAGACACCAGAGGAAAAUCCCUAGCUUUGGCUUUUCCAGUGUCAACAGCAGCCUUGCAUUCCUGUUCCAGAGCAGAAUUAGAACAAUUUGAUUCUGAAUACAUUUAAGAAUUUUAAAAAAGAAACAAAAUAAUGUCAGGGACAUUUUCUCUUUGUUUCAGUCCUGAGUCCCAAGUCUAGGUCAUGCAGACACAGAGAAGACACUAUUUUUAAAUGAGGUAUUAAAUAAAUGAAAUGAGUGUGCAAGCACUUGGCAGUCUGAUACCUGCUUACCCAGAAGCUUGUUCUGACAGCCUUCUCAUUUGAAAUCCCAGGAGAUAUAGAUAAUUGACUCUGAUU
rnacentral:lncRNA from 1 species